rnacentral:rRNA from 1 species
ACUCCUACGGGAGGCAGCAGUGGGGAAUUUUGGACAAUGGGCGAAAGCCUGAUCCAGCAAUGCCGCGUGAGUGAAGAAGGCCUUCGGGUUGUAAAGCUCUUUUGUCAGGGAAGAAACGGUGAGAGCUAAUAUCUCUUGCUAAUAACGGUACCUGAAGAAUAAGCACCGGCUAACUACGUGCCAGCGGCCGCGGUAAUACGUAGGGUGCAAGCGUUAAUCGGAAUUACUGGGCGUAAAGCGUGCGCAGGCGGUUUUGUAAGUCUGAUGUGAAAUCCCCGGGCUCAACCUGGGAAUUGCAUUGGAGACUGCAAGGCUAGAAUCUGGCAGAGGGGGGUAGAAUUCCACGUGUAGCAGUGAAAUGCGUAGAUAUGUGGAGGAACACCGAUGGCGAAGGCAGCCCCCUGGGUCAAGAUUGACGCUCAUGCACGAAAGCGUGGGGAGCAAACAGGAUUAGAAACCCUGGUAGUCCCAUG